rnacentral:rRNA from 1 species
CCUACGGGCGGCAGCAGUGGGGAAUAUUGCACAAUGGGGGAAACCCUGAUGCAGCGACGCCGCGUGAGUGAAGAAGGAUCUCGGUACGUAAAGCUCUUUCAGCAGGGAAGAUAAUGACGGUACCUGACCAAGAUGCCCCGGCUAACUACGUGCCAGAAGCCGCGGUAAUACGUAGGGGGCAAGAGUUAUCCGGAUUUACUGGGUGUAAAGGGAGCGUAGACGGGCACACAAGUCUGGAGUGAAAUCCCGGGGCUUAACCCCGGAGCUGCUUUGGAUACUGUGCGGCUGGAGUGCAGGAGGGGUAGGCGGAAUGCCUAGUGUAGCGGUGAAAUGCGUAGAUAUUAGGAGGAACACCGGUGGCGAAGGCGGCUUGCUGGACUGUAACUGACGUUGAGGCUCGAAAGCGUGGGGAGCAAACAGGAUUAGAUACCCGAGUAGUC